rnacentral:rRNA from 1 species
AACCAAUAAUAGCUCAAAAUUUAGACUACAAAAAUAUACCAAAAAAUUAAAAUAAAACAUUUAUAACAACUAAAGUAUAGGUGAUAGAAAUUUUAAAAGACGCUAUAGAGAAAGUACCGUAAGGGAAAUUUGAUAGAAUAAUUUAAGUACCAAAUAGCAAAGCUUAAAACUUGUACCUUUUGUAUAAUGAUUCAACUAGAAGGCAUUAGCAAAAAGAAUUAAAGUUAAAUAACCCGAAACCAGACGAGCUACCCAUUAGCAGCCCACAGAGCAAACUCAUCUAUGUGGCAAAAUAGUGAGACGACUAAUAGGUAGUGGCGAUAAACCUACCGAGCCUGGUGAUAGCUGGUUGUCCAGAGCAGAAUUUUAGUUCUAAUUUAAAUCUACCAUACAAAUACAUAAAUUACAAUGUAGAUUUAAAUAAUAGUCUAAAAGGGUACAGCCUUUUAGAUAUGGGAUACAACCCCCUCUAGAGAGUAAAACUUUCACAGACCACAAUAGUUGGCCUAAAAGCAGCCAUCAACUGAGAAAGCGUUCAAGCCCAACAGUACAAAAACUUAAUACCACAAUAAAAAUUUAACUCCCAAUACAAAACUGGACUAUUCUAUUUCUAAAUAGAAGCAACACUGUUGAUAUGAGUAACAAGAAAUUAUUUCUCCUUGCAUAAGUGUAUAUCAGAACGAAUAAAUCACUGAUAAUUACCAAAACUAGUAUUACCAACUACUUAACCUCUUAAUAUUUAUUGUUAGACCAACACUGGAAUGCAACUAAAGGAAAGAUUAAAAGAAGUAAAAGGAACUCGGCAAACACAAACCUCGCCUGUUUACCAAAAACAUCACCUCUAGCAUAAAAAGUAUUAGAGGCAAUGCCUGCCCAGUGACUUUAGUUUAACGGCCGCGGUAUCCUGACCGUGCAAAGGUAGCAUAAUCACUUGUUCUCUAAAUAAGGACUUGUAUGAAUGGCUUCACGAGGGUUUUGCUGUCUCUCACUUCCAAUCAGUGAAAUUGAUACCUCCGUGAAGAAGCGGAGAUAAAAAAAUAAGACGAGAAGACCCUAUGGAGCUUUAAUUAAUUAACUCACAUCUCUUACACGCCCCUCGACAAGAGACAAAUUUACUCUAACUGAGUUAAUAAUUUAGGUUGGGGUGACCUCGGAGUAAAAUAUAACCCCCGAGAAAAAAAUUUAUUAAGACCUACAAGUCAAAAUUAUUAUACUAAAAACUGAUCCGUCAUUGGCGAUCAACGAAAUAAGUUACCCUAGGGAUAACAGCGCAAUCCUAUUUAAGAGUCCAUAUCGACAAUUAGGGUUUACGACCUCGAUGUUGGAUCAGGACAUCCCAAUGGUGCAGCAGCUAUUAAUGUGUUCGUUUGUUCAACGAUUAAAGUCCUACGUGAUCUGAGUUCAGACCGGAGUAAUCCAGGUCGGUUUCUAUCUAUUUAUAAGUUCCUCCUAGUACGAAAGGACCAGAGGAACAAGGCCUACUUAUAAUAAGUGCCCUAACAAAACAGAUGAAUUAAUCUUAAUCUUACUACACUAAUAACCACUCAAGAUAAGAGACCAG